CCUACGGGCGGCAGCAGUGAGGAAUAUUGGUCAAUGGGCGGAAGUCUGAACCAGCCAAGUAGCGUGAAGGAUGAAGGCCCUACGGGUUGUAAACUGCUUUUGUACGGGGAUAACAUGCUCCACUUGUGGCAGUCUGUAGGUACCAUAUGAAUAAGGUCCGGCUAAUUCCGUGCCAGCAGCCGCGGUAAUACGGAGGAUCCGAGCGUUAUCCGGAUUUAUUGGGUUUAAAGGGAGCGUAGGUGGGGCGUUAAGUCAGUUGUGAAAGUCUGCGGGUCAACCGGAAAAGUGCAGUUGAAACUGGAUGCCGUGAGUUCACAAGAGGCAGGCGGAAUUCGUGGUGUAGCGGUGAAAUGCAUAGAUAUCACGAAGAACCCCGAUUGCGAAGGCAGCUUACGGGGCUGCGACUGACGCUGAGGCUCGAAAGUGUGGGUAUCAAACAGGAUUAGAUACCCGGGUAGUC
rnacentral:rRNA from 1 species